rnacentral:rRNA from 1 species
GAUACCCCUGUAGUCCCAGCCGUAAACUAUGCUCGCUAGGUGUCAGGCAUGGCGCGACCGUGUCUGGUGCCGCAGGGAAGCCGUGAAGCGAGCCACCUGGGAAGUACGGCCNCGGGGGGGGGGGAAGCUGAAACUUAAAGGAAUUGGCGGGGGAGCACAACAACGGGUGGAGCCUGCGGUUUAAUUGGACUCAACGCCGGACAACUCACCGGGGACGACAGCAAUAUGUAGGCCAGGCUGAAGACCUUGCCUGAAUCGCUG